rnacentral:lncRNA from 1 species
UGGAGGACCCCGGCCCCGGCGCGGUCCAGCGGUGGGAGCGGGCGCCGCCCACCUGUCGGAUCCCUGGGCCAUGACCCCUGGGACGGCGAGUGAGCUGCGCCGGGAACCCCCGGGACGGAGAGAGCAGCCUCCAACCCCCAAGGCUCACAUUGCUUCACGGAGUAGCGGCCCGGGGAAGGAGCACGCGAGCGGUUCCCCGGGGUUGCAUCUCACACCCGGGAGGGAGGGACCCUACUAUUUUCAGGCCCCGAAUCCUCCACUCUCUGGCCCUGCAUGGCGUUCCUGGAGCCCGAGUAGAGGAUUAGAGAAGGGGACACCGGAGCCACUCCCAAGGGAAUGAAGGCUUUCUGAACCUGGUGUGAUGAUAGAGCCACGAACCCCCUGAACAAGGAGCUCGACUGGGCCAGCAUCAACGGCUUCUGCGAGCAGCUCAACGAGGACUUUGAGGG